GGCUAUCACUGGGAGAUGGGCCUGCGGCGCAUUAGCUAGUUGGUGGGGUAACGGCCUACCAAGGCGACGAUGCGUAGCCGACCUGAAAGGGUGACCGGCCACACUGGGACUGAGACACGGCCCAAACUCCUACGGGAGGCAGCAGUAGGGAAUUUUCCACAAUGGACGAAAGUCUGAUGGAGCAACGCCGCGUGAACGAUGAAGGUCUUCGGAUUGUAAAGUUCUGUUGUCAGGGACGAACAAGUACCGUUCGAACAGGGCGGUACCUUGACGGUACCUGACGAGAAAGCCACGGCUAACUACGUGCCAGCAGCCGCGGUAAUACGUAUGUGGCAAGCGUUGUCCGGAUUUAUUGGGCGUAAAGCGCGCGCAUGCGGCUA
rnacentral:rRNA from 1 species